GCAUCGGUGGUUUAGUGGUAAAAUUAGCCGUUGCCAUUCCCUGCAGGACAGUUUCGGCUAGCCCCGGGUUCGAUUCCCGGCCGAUGCA
rnacentral:tRNA from 1 species